rnacentral:rRNA from 1 species
AUGGACCAAUCCAUCCCUUUUUCCCGUGCAUAUGCAUCUGACUUGGAUGACGAUGGUCCCGAUGAAGAAGUUGAUGAGGAGGGGUUCACGCCGAAGGAGGCCCAAGCAUUCAAGAAGGUAUUCGGGUGGGAUCACAAGACACCAUUGUUCAAGGAUCUUAGUCUCGCGGAUGAAGCCGUUGUGGAUGGUGGCAAAUGCAUAUCUCUUGGAGCUAGGCCAAGUUCUCAC